rnacentral:rRNA from 1 species
UACGAAGGGUGCAAGCGUUACUCGGAAUUACUGGGCGUAAAGGGUGCGUAGGUGGUUUUUUAAGUCUGAUGUGAAAUCUCACAGCUUAACUGUGAAACUGCAUUGGAUACUAUCCGGCUCGAGGAAUGGAGGGGAGACUGGAAUACUUGGUGUAGCAGUGAAAUGCGUAGAUAUCAAGUGGAACACCAGUGGCGAAGGCGAGUCUCUGGACAUUUCCUGACGCUGAGGCACGAAAGCCAGGGGAGCAAACGGG